UGAGACAACGUACAACUCUUAUCGAUAAGCCAUUGGAGGSAAGUCUGGUGCMAGCAGCCGCGGUAAUUCCAGCUCCAAUAGCGUAUAUUAACGUUGUUGCAGUUAAAAAGCUCGUAGUUGAAGUGAGGGAGUGUGUGUUCAUGAGAGCUAGUCUCGAGKGUUCACAACCUCCCCCCUCCAAUCGGUGUAGKGGGGKAUUCAGUUAUUUCACUACUCCUUUGGUCGYUUACUGUGAGAAAAUUARAGUGUUCAAAGCGGGCGUUUGUUUGAAUAGAUUAGCAUGGAAUAAUGAUUGAAGGCUUUCGUGWUCGAUUUGAUUGGUUUGUUCAUGGAAGCAAGGUUAAAAGGAACAGUUGG
rnacentral:rRNA from 1 species